UGGAGGUCUACGGAAUAGAAGUCAUUAGAAAUACAGCUAAUAUAUAUGAAUCAAAUUCAACUUCUCUUGGAACCAUACAUAGCGAUCACAAAAUAAAAGAAAAUAAUCUAAGUACCGGCUUUGAUUUGCAUGACCAAACAACAGAUUAUACUCAGUGGAUAUUUAAGGAACUGUUUCCCCCUAAACAAUUGAAUCCAUCGAGGACACCAUUCUAUCUUUUCAUACAGCCAUCGACCUCAUUGAUGGAAUGUUCAAUAAUAUGUACAGGUGACCCUAAAUGUAGAGCGGUUUUUAUUUACGAAAAAAAACACAUGUUUUGGAUUAUCCCCAUUAACGCCAAACUCAAAACUGAUUUCAACAGUACGGGUAUUCAUCAAACAACCACAAGACGAAUGUAAUGGUUGGGACUUUGUUUAUUAUAACGGGCUAUGCAUGCUGUUUAGUACUAUUGAUUUGGAUUGGUAUGAAGCAAAAACAUAUUGUGAAAACAAGAAUAGCCACUUACUGGUCCUAGAUUCUGAACAAAAGGUCAACGAAACCAAAGAGUUCUUAAAAACUUACUAUCACGAUUUACGCUCACUUUACGUUGGAGCAUCCGACGAGACAAAGGAAGGAGAAUGGAAAUGGGUCACCAAAACAACGAUAUCUGGUUAUUUUAAUUUCCAGCCAGGCCAACCUAACAACAUUGAUUCCAAUCAUCCUAAUAAAGUAGCAAAUUGUGGGGCUGUUAUGUCUAAAGGUGAAUUAGACUUAUACGAUGUGUACUGUUACGGGAAGAGACAAUUUAUUUGUGAAAUGUAAUUAAAGUCAACCUGACGUUUUCAAAUGAUA